rnacentral:rRNA from 1 species
GAUGAACGCUGGCGGCGUGCCUAAUACAUGCAAGUCGAGCGAACGGACGAGAAGCUUGCUUCUCUGAUGUUAGCGGCGGACGGGUGAGUAACACGUGGAUAACCUACCUAUAAGACUGGGAUAACUUCGGGAAACCGGAGCUAAUACCGGAUAAUAUUUUGAACCGCAUGGUUCAAAAGUGAAAGACGGUCUUGCUGUCACUUAUAGAUGGAUCCGCGCUGCAUUAGCUAGUUGGUAAGGUAGCGGCUUACCAAGGCAACGAUGCAUAGCCGACCUGAGAGGGUGAUCGGCCACACUGGAACUGAGACACGGUCCAGACUCCUACGGGAGGCAGCAGUAGGGAAUCUUCCGCAAUGGGCGAAAGCCUGACGGAGCAACGCCGCGUGAGUGAUGAAGGCCUUCGGAUCGUAAAACUCUGUUAUUAGGGAAGAACAUAUGUGUAAGUAACUGUGCACAUCUUGACGGUACCUAAUCAGAAAGCCACGGCUAACUACGUG